rnacentral:rRNA from 1 species
ACGCAAUAGAUACCCAGGUAGUCCACGCCCUAAACGAUGUCUACUAGUUGUCGGGUCUUAAUUGACUUGGUAAACGCAGCUAAACGCGUGAAAUAGACCGCCUGGGGAGUACGGCCGCAAGAUUAAAACUCAAAGGAAUUGACGGGGACCCGCACAAGCGGUGGAUGAUGUGGAUUAAAUUCGAUGCAACGCGAAAAACCUUACCUACCCUUGACAUGGAAGGAAUCCCUGAGAGAUCGGGGAGUGCUCGAAAGAGAACCUUUACACAGGUGCUGCAUGGCUGUCGUCAGCUCGUGUCGUGAGAUGUUGGGUUAAGUCCCGCAACGAGCGCAACCCUUGUCAUUAGUUGCUACGAAAGGGCACUCUAAUGAGACUGCCGGUGACAAACCGGAGGAAGGUGGGGAUGACGUCAAGUCCUCAUGGCCCUUAUGGGUAGGGCUUCACACGUCAUACAAUGGUACAUACAGAGGGCCGCCAACCCGCGAGGGGGAGCUAAUCCCAGAAAGUGUAUCGUAGUCCGGAUUGUAGUCUGCAACUCGACUGC